rnacentral:rRNA from 1 species
UACGUAGGGUGCAAGCGUUAAUCGGAAUUACUGGGCGUAAAGCGUGCGCAGGCGGUUAUGUAAGACAGAUGUGAAAUGCCCGGGCUUAACCUGGGAACUGCAUUUGUGACUGCAUGGCUAGAGUUUGGCAGAGGGGGUAGAAUUCCACGUGUAGCAGUGAAAUGCGUAGAUAUGUGGAGGAACACCGAUGGCGAAGGCAGCCCCCUGGGUCGAAGACUGACGCUCAUG